UGUCAAAACUGCUACGAUCGAUUUCGUCAAAGUUCUUCUUGACAAAGCCGUUGAAUGCGCUCCGGUCGAUCUCGUCGAAGUUGCGUUUUUGCGUGCCGAAGGUGGCGCCACUGUGAAGAAAAAUAAAGAAUAUUGUCUCUUUGGUAGUCAUCGUCAUUACGAAGUCCCUUUAGUGAGAGACAAAAUAAGAAUAUCAAAUAAAGCCGAAGCCAGUCCAAUGCUCGUCAAAAGGGUAAAUCUUUGAUCUUCGUGAUUCACUGAAUUCUGUUCGCUUUAAUACGCUGAAUGCGUGGGAGGCAAUAAUUUUACAGAUAUUUUGGAGAUAAUUAGAUUUUGUAAGUCGUGAAUGUGUAGAGUUGUGCAUCCAGUGUGUAGAUAAGCCGUACUGUAUGGAUUGUAUGGAGCUUUUGACGUUAUACUAUGAUAAACAUUAAAGCUUUACUUAGAA